rnacentral:rRNA from 1 species
UGAGUAACACGUGAGUAACCUGCCCUUGACUCUGGGAUAAGCGUUGGAAACGACGUCUAAUACCGGAUAUGAACCGCGAAGGCAUCUUCUGCGGUUGGAAAGAAUUUUGGUCAAGGAUGGACUCGCGGCCUAUCAGCUAGUUGGUGAGGUAACGGCCCACCAAGGCGACGACGGGUAGCCGGCCUGAGAGGGUGACCGGCCACACUGGGACUGAGACACGGCCCAGACUCCUACGGGAGGCAGCAGUGGGGAAUAUUGCACAAUGGGCGAAAGCCUGAUGCAGCAACGCCGCGUGAGGGACGACGGCCUUCGGGUUGUAAACCUCUUUUAGCAGGGAAGAAGCGAAAGUGACGGUACCUGCAGAAAAAGCACCGGCUAACUACGUGCCAGCAGCCGCGGUAAUACGUAGGGUGCAAGCGUUGUCCGGAAUUAUUGGGCGUAAAGAGCUCGUAGGCGGUUUGUCGCGUCUGCUGUGAAAACGCGAGGCUCAACCUCGCGCCUGCAGUGGGUACGGGCAGACUAGAGUGCGGUAGGGGAGAUUGGAAUUCCUGGUGUAGCGGUGGAAUGCGCAGAUAUCAGGAGGAACACCGAUGGCGAAGGCAGAUCUCUGGGCCGUAACUGACGCUGAGGAGCGAAAGCGUGGGGAGCGAACAGGAUUAGAUACCCUGGUAGUCCACGCCGUAAACGUUGGGAACUAGAU